GACGAACGCUGGCGGCGUGCUUAACACAUGCAAGUCGAACGGAAAGGCCCUGCUUUUGUGGGGUGCUCGAGUGGCGAACGGGUGAGUAACACGUGAGUAACCUGCCCUUGACUUUGGGAUAACUUCAGGAAACUGGGGCUAAUACCGGAUAGGAGCUCCCGCUGCAUGGUGGGGGUUGGAAAGUUUCGGCGGUUGGGGAUGGACGCGCGGCUUAUCAGCUUGCUGGUGGGGUAGUGGCUUACCAAGGCUUUGACGGGUAGCCCGCCUGAGAGGGUGACCGGCCACAUUGGGACUGAGAUACGGCCCAGACUCCUACGGUAGGCAGCAGUGGCGAAUAUUGCACAAUGGGCGGAAGCCUGAUGCAGCAACGCCGCGUUCGUGAUGACGGCCUUCGGGUUGUAAACCGCUUUCGCCUGUGACGAAGCGUGAGUGACGGUAAUGGGUAAAGAAGCACCGGCUAACUACGUG
rnacentral:rRNA from 1 species